rnacentral:rRNA from 1 species
GCGUGCCUAAUACAUGCAAGUAGAACGCUGAAGAGAGGAGCUUGCUCUUCUUGGAUGAGUUGCGAACGGGUGAGUAACGCGUAGGUAACCUGCCUUGUAGCGGGGGAUGACUAUUGGAAACGAUAGCUAAUACCGCAUAACAAUAGGUGACACAUGUCAUUUAUUUGAAAGGGGCAAUUGCUCCACUACAAGAUGGACCUGCGUUGUAUUAGCUAGUAGGUGAGGUAACGGCUCACCUAGGCGACGAUACAUAGCCGACCUGAGAGGGUGAUCGGCCACACUGGGACUGAGACACGGCCCAGACUCCUACGGGAGGCAGCAGUAGGGAAUCUUCGGCAAUGGGGGCAACCCUGACCGAGCAACGCCGCGUGAGUGAAGAAGGUUUUCGGAUCGUAAAGCUCUGUUGUAAGUCAAGAACGAGUGUGAGAGUGGAAAGUUCACACUGUGACGGUAGCUUACCAGAAAGGGACGGCUAACUACGUGCCAGCAGCCGCGGUAAUACGUAGGUCCCGAGCGUUGUCCGGAUUUAUUGGGCGUAAAGCGAGCGCAGGCGGUUUGAUAAGUCUGAAGUUAAAGGCUGUGGCUCAACCAUAGUUCGCUUUGGAAACUGUCAAACUUGAGUGCAGAAGGGGAGAGUGGAAUUCCAUGUGUAGCGGUGAAAUGCGUAGAUAUAUGGAGGAACACCGGUGGCGAAAGCGGCUCUCUGGUCUGUAACUGACGCUGAGGCUCGAAAGCGUGGGGAGCGAACAGGAUUAGAUACCCUGGUAGUCCACGCCGUAAACGAUGAGUGCUAGGUGUUGGAUCCUUUCCGGGAUUCAGUGCCGCAGCUAACGCAUUAAGCACUCCGCCUGGGGAGUACGACCGCAAGGUUGAAACUCAAAGGAAUUGACGGGGGCCCGCACAAGCGGUGGAGCAUGUGGUUUAAUUCGAAGCAACGCGAAGAACCUUACCAGGUCUUGACAUCCCGAUGCUAUUUCUAGAGAUAGAAAGUUACUUCGGUACAUCGGUGACAGGUGGUGCAUGGUUGUCGUCAGCUCGUGUCGUGAGAUGUUGGGUUAAGUCCCGCAACGAGCGCAACCCCUAUUGUUAGUUGCCAUCAUUCAGUUGGGCACUCUAGCGAGACUGCCGGUAAUAAACCGGAGGAAGGUGGGGAUGACGUCAAAUCAUCAUGCCCCUUAUGACCUGGGCUACACACGUGCUACAAUGGUUGGUACAACGAGUUGCGAGUCGGUGACGGCAAGCUAAUCUCUUAAAGCCAAUCUCAGUUCGGAUUGUAGGCUGCAACCCGCCUACAUGAAGUCGGAAUCGCUAGUAAUCGCGGAUCAGCACGCCGCGGUGAAUACGUUCCCGGGCCUUGUACACACCGCCCGUCACACCACGAGAGUUUGUAACACCCGAAGUCGGUGAGGUAACCUUUUGGAGCCAGCCGCCUAAGGUGGGAUAGAUGAUUGGGGUGAAGUCG